rnacentral:rRNA from 1 species
CUAACACAUGCAAGUCGAACGAGGCGGAAGGGGGCAACUCCUUCCGUCGAGUGGCGGACGGGUGAGUAACACGUGGGUAACCUGCCCGGAAGUGGGGAAUACCUCGGGGAAACUCGAGCUAAUACCGCAUGACAUCUUCGGGACGACAGUCCUGACGAUCAAAGCGGGGUCGCAAGAUCUCGCGCUACCGGAUGGGCCCGCGCCCGAUUAGCUAGUUGGCGAGGUAAUGGCUCACCAAGGCUUCGAUCGGUAACCGGCCUGAGAGGGCGAUCGGUCACACCGGAACUGAGACACGGUCCGGACUCCUACGGGAGGCAGCAGUGGGGAAUCUUGCGCAAUGGGCGAAAGCCUGACGCAGCAACGCCGCGUGGAGGAUGAAGGCCCUUGGGUUGUAAACUCCUGUCGGCUGGGAAGAAAUCGUUCGCGGUUAAUACCCGCGGACGUUGACUGUACCAGCAAAGGAAGCCCCGGCUAACUCUGUGCCAGCAGCCGCGGUAAUACAGAGGGGGCUAGCGUUAUUCGGAAUUAUUGGGCGUAAAGGGCGCGUAGGCGGCCCUGCAUGUCUUCCGUGAAAUCCCUCGGCUUAACUGAGGACGUGCGGAAGAAACUGCGGGGCUCGAGUCCGGGAGAGGGGGGUGGAAUUCCCAGUGUAGCGGUGAAAUGCGUAGAUAUUGGGAGGAACACCGGUGGCGAAGGCGGCCCCCUGGACCGGUACUGACGCUGAGGCGCGAAA